AAGGAGGUGCAGGAGCAGGACGGGCAGGAAUUAAGUUUCCCUGAGAUGAUACUUUCGGUUGUGGUGGAGGUGGCCUGAUGGCAAAUGCAGAGGUUGC